CACACAGGAUGAUCACCCCACUUGACCUCUCUCACUGAUCACUUGAUAACAAUGAAAGAUCUGAUAGUCUG